CAUAGAAUCAAACUGUAGACAGAAUUUAGUUAAUAAUUGAUGUGUUAACUCAUGUUAACUCAAUUAAGAACUUCAAUUUUUUAAAGUUUAUUUGAAUAUCAGAUAAAAGUAGAUCUUUCGAUUUUUCGAUGGAUUAUCUGUCAAUAAUGAGAAAAAUAUUUAGCAUUUUAUUUCUAUUUGUCAUAAUUUUGUGUAUUCAAAAAAAUUUUGCAUUCAUUGGACUUAUUAUGAAAGUUAUCAAAAUACCUUUUUCAAUAAUUAAAAGUGUUGGUAAAAUGUUUCUUGGAUCCAUGAUUAGUGGUAGUGGCGAUGAUGAUGAUGAUUAAUGAUGAACACUAUGGUUUCACUACAAUAAUGAAAUGAAAACUAUGCAAAAGGAAAUAAUCAUUUUAAUCUUUUGUUUUUAAUAAUUGUGAACAUUGUAUUUCCUUAUUUUCAAUAAAGAAUGAAAACAUUAAAAUACUA